GUCCUGUUGAAGGUGGAAGAAAGCAUGUGAAGCUGAUUGAAUGUGACAGCUGAACUGCAUCAAGAGAAAUGCCAUCAGAUCCUACACUUUCCUGGGCAUUGUAUAAGAAACAGUUUACUUCACUGUGGCAUUUGGUGAGGUUAAACAUUUCGAUAUUUGUGAUAUUAGAUCUGAAUUUCUGAGGAACCAUGCACCAAAAGAAGUAUAACUGCACCCAUGGACCAACUGUGCAGCUGCUGGUUGGCUGUUAACGGUGACUUCACCUUUCCACUCAGACAAAGCACCACAUUUGGUUUUGACUGAGACAUGGAGAUCUGCACAACACCGCAACUCCCUCUGUGCUCCGAUAGACUUUCA